UGUCGCGGUGGCUGUGCGUGGGACACCUUCGGGUGUGCCGGAUUCCUUGAUGUCCGGUCGGUCAACCCGCGUACAGCUGCCACCCAG
rnacentral:antisense_RNA from 1 species